rnacentral:rRNA from 1 species
GACGAACCGAGCGAACGUUGUUCGGAAUCACUGGGCUUAAAGGGCGCGUAGGCGGCGCGGUAAGUCACUUGUGAAAUCUCUGAGCUUAACUCAGAACGGCCAAGUGAUACUGUUGUGCUAGAGUGCAGAAAGGGCAAUCGGAAUUCUCGGUGUAGCGGUGAAAUGCGUAGAUAUCGAGAGGAACACCUGAGGCGAAGGCGGGUUGCUAGGCUGACACUGACGCUGAGGCGCGAAAGCUAGGGUAGCAAACGGG